AUUGAACGCUGGCGGAAUGCUUUACACAUGCAAGUCGAACGGUAGAGGGGGCAACCCCUCGAGAGUGGCGAACGGGUGAGUAAUGCAUCGGAACGUGCCCGGUCGUGGGGGAUAACGCAGCGAAAGCUGCGCUAAUACCGCAUACGAUCUGAGGAUGAAAGCGGGGGACCGUAAGGCCUCGCGCGAUUGGAGCGGCCGAUGUCAGAUUAGGUAGUUGGUGGGGUAAUGGCCUACCAAGCCGACGAUCCAUAGCUGGUUUGAGAGGAUGAUCAGCCACACUGGGACUGAGACACGGCCCAGACUCCUACGGGAGGCAGCAGUGGGGAAUCUUAGACAAUGGGGGAAACCCUGAUCUAGCCAUGCCGCGUGAUCGAUGAAGGCCUUAGGGUUGUAAAGAUCUUUCAGUUGGGAAGAUAAUGACGGUACCAACAGAAGAAGCCCCGGCUAACUCCGUG
rnacentral:rRNA from 1 species